CAGAAAGUAGUUUAAUUAAAAUAUCAGCUUUGGGAGUUGGCGUUGAAGGUUUGAUUCCUUUCUUUCUGA
rnacentral:tRNA from 1 species